AACACAUCGUAGUUCCUCUGCUUGUCCAAAUGUGCCAAUCAGCCCACUUCCUUGACGUGUUAACCCUUCAGAAGGCUGAACUGGUUCACUGACUUUCCAUGGUAAAAUUGGUGGGAUUGUUGAUGAAAGAUGUGGAGCUUUUGCAUCUAGAAACAUCUUCCUCAAUACACAAGCAGCAUCAUCAUAGUACUUGUAAGAGUUCUUCACAAAGCUCCAGCCAUUUACAUCACAAACAUAUGAACGCCCCUCACUACGCAAUAGAUCGAAGCCACAAACGGCUUGCCUAAAGGCUAUGCAAACUUCUCUAGCCAUUUGCUUCUCGGCAGGGGUAAGGAGAACAGGAUAUCGAACUUCUUUCCCAUCAGGAUUUCUCAUAACAACACCAUCAACA
rnacentral:misc_RNA from 1 species